AACGAGGCCGACCUGCGGCUGAGUUACCUGCGGAAGGAUCAUUAAAAAUAGUGGUAUACCCCCUUUUAAAAGUGUGGGUUACCUCCCGUCCUUUGUUGGUCCCUUAGGGGACUUUUUUGAACUUUUCUGCUUCGGCGGGUUAAACCUGCCGGAACACCCUCCAAAAAUUCUGAUCAUUUAAAACUGUUCAGUCCGAGUAUGAGAAAAAACAAAAAACUUUUAGCAAUGGAUCUCAGAUCG
rnacentral:misc_RNA from 1 species